GACUUUGCUCCUCCAGCCCGAGCGUCAAGCGACAGGCUGAUGGCUGGUGGCUCUUGCCACCGGCCU
rnacentral:sRNA from 17 species